CUAAUUACUGGAAUUGACCGUCAAUUUCUUCCAAUCCCGUAAAUUUCUUCAAUUUCUUGAUCACUUCUGCAGAUCCUAUGGAAAAGUUUCCCUUUUUAUGAAAGUUUAACUAAAAUUUCAAACUAAGGCAUGAGAGAAAAUCGAACUAUUUUCAGUUCAAGUAAAGAUCUUGGAACAAUAAUACACGACAAUAGCAAAAAGGUCUUAUGAGGAUUCAUAGUUAUUCUGGGGAAAGUUUCGGAGGUUAUCUCUAGAUUUUAGAGAGGACGAACGAAUUUUUUCUGGUCUUUCUUAUUUACUCGAAGAUAAUUGAUGGCAGUUUCUACUGCAAAGAUAGAAUCCUGAUAUGGUGGAUAUCAAGUGUUUUUGAGCUAAUUGAUUUUGGCUCUAUAAUUAUAUUUAGCUAAAAGGGUGUGUAAUCAAGGGAAAAUCCUUGAUGGAUUAUGUAAUUACGGAAAGAAGAGAGAUUCUCUCAAUUUCUGCUGCUUGAAAUUCUUCAAAUAAUAUUGCCAAAACCUGGAUAGCUUUCAUUUUAUUUGCAUCAGAGGACUGUUCAAAGAAUUUUGUAUGUUUGCUUUAGAAUUUGAAUUUUUCAGUCCUUGGUUUGAAAGGGUGGUCACAACAUUAUAGAAGAAGAGACCAAUGCAUUUAAAGUUGGGUAUAUAACAAGGUUGGAGAAAUUCUAGACAAGAUAAGAUAUAUGGGAUUUUGAUACCUUCAAUGAAGUAAGUGGAGUGAAAAUGGGUGCAACGAUUUUACGUUCUUUGACAGGUGAUAAUCCAGAAUUGCAAAAGCAAACAGGACAGCAUUAUAGAAGAAAAGCCAGUGCAUUGGAAGUUGGAUAUACGAAAAGGUGAUAAUCCAAAAUUGUAAAAGCAAACAUGAUAUAUGACAGACAUCUUUCAACUGUUCGAUCAUCAGCCUAUUCUUACUGGGAGGUGCAUCGUUGGCCACAACAAAGAGAGGCUGCCUCCUGAAAUCAGGUAAAACGUGGAGUAGCUGGCAGAGGUAAUUGGGGAGCUCAGAUUGAUAAAUUGGCUGAAGUUAUCGACGAAGUCGUCAAUUAUGGUGGGAUCAAUCUGAAUGCUGAAGUAUGAAUCAUCUUUUUAUCUAUAUAUUUUGAGUUUUAUAUGAUUUGGAAUUUGAAACCUAAACUAGAUAUACAAGUGAAAAUGUUUUGAAACUAAGAUUACUUAUUUAGAAUAACAUAAAAGAUGUUGUUCUCUCAUCAACAAAAAAAGAUUUUGUCUCCGCCUUAUGAGUGAACUAAGCAAGCUUAUAUAAGCCCACCUAAACAUCGUAUAUAGUAAUUGUAAACUGGGAAGUGCUAGGUAUUUUAUACUGCAGUUAUUAAUGAUUCUCUUUAAUGAGUUGGAACUUUAGCUUUGGUACUCCUGCUAAAGCCUUUUCUCUUUUGUUCCCGGGAACUGAAAUCAAUUACAUCUCCAAAUUGUAGUUUCCUUGCCAUUGGUGAAUCAAAUGCAACUUGUGGAAAGAGGUUGACAUCCAUUGUACUUCAAAUAUAUGAUAGAAGUAUAUUGAUCCUACCAUUGACCUUGGCACAUGUUACCUGUCAUAAAUGAGUUAUGAAAGGUAGGGUCAUGCAAAUGGCUAGGCUUUACUGGAUAAAUAACAGAAAAGUAUAAGGAUUUCACGUGUUGAAAAGGGGAUUUUUUUAUUUUAAAUCACAUCAAAUCUUCGAUGCAUAUUUCAUUUGUUACAAGUGAUUAUAUUAAUAGAAGAAAACUUGGAUGGUUAAUCUGAUUUUUAAUCACAUCAAAUUAUUUGUAUGUUUCAGACGGAAAGAAUGCCCAUGUGACAAGGUAACUUACUGAAGGUAUUAUUUGGCAUCGAUUUUUCAUUAUCUAUAUUUUCCCAUGAUUUAGAUUGAAUUUUGGUUCUAUCAACUUCUUAAAUUCUUUUAGUAAUGUUAUUUGCAUUAAUAGAAUAUGUGAAUAGCUAAACCUCAAUAUCAUCCACCACAAGCAACAAUAGUAACGACACUCAAUCCAUGGAUGAUGAGAAUCCCAUAAGACUGGUGACUGACAUAGUCCAUGAAACUCAAAGAGAGGUGGAAGAAAAUUCCAAAGAGACCAAAUGAAUCGAUAAAAAUGGGAGUUGGGGACUGGUUCCGCAUAUAAGAUUAGUUCUUUGUUCAAUCUACUUAUUACCAUUCUGAAUCAUGCAUAGUGAUUUGACAUUUAUUGGAUUGUCGAGUAUCGAAAUCUGCUUGUAGGAUAUCAUGUUCCAUGCAGAGGGGAGAAAGAAGGUGCUUUUAUUACCUUGACUUAAUAAUUUUAGUCAUCUAGGUUUAGAAUUUCUGUUGCAAUUCUUCAAUGUUAUUAGGUUCC